CGAGCACGCGCGUGUGGCAUAUCAAUAAGCGGAGGAAAAGAAACUAACAAGGAUUCCCUUAGUAACGGCGAGUGAAGCGGGAAGAGCUCAAAUUUGAAAUCUUCAAGGUUCUACCUUGACGAAUUGUAGUUUAUAGAAGUGUUUUCUGUUAGUGGAGUGGCAAAAGUUCUUUGGAAUAGGACAUCAUAGAGGGUGAGAAUCCCGUAUUUGGUCAUUCCUCCUAGCGUUGUGAUACACUUUCAACGAGUCGGAUUGUUUGGGAAUGCAGUCCAAAAUGGGUGGUAAAUUUCAUCUAAAGCUAAAUAUUGGCGAGAGACCGAUAGCGAACAAGUACCGUGAGGGAAAGAUGAAAAGAACUUUGAAAAGAGAGUUAAACAGUACGUGAAAUUGUCAAAAGGGAAGCGUUUGACACCAGUGUUGUUUUUCCGAAAAUCAAUUACGAAUGUUUUAUUUUUGAGGAGUUAUGACUUCGAUCGGCUUGCUCCUUUCUUUAUGAAACUUUCUUAAUGCACUUUUCGGUUAACAAGUCAACAUCAAUUUCUUUUGUUGUAAAAGGGUAUGAGGAAGGUGGCUUUCUUUUCGGAGAAAGUGUUUAUAGCCUUGUGCCUCUGCAAUCGGAGAGAUUGAGGUCUGCAGCGUAGAUCCUUCGGGGUUAGAUACGUUUGUGCUAAGUUAUAGCUUUUCAUAGACAACUUGUUGACUAUGUUUAGUCUUGUAGCUUACUCGCUGACGCUAUUUUACCUACGCUUAGGAUGUUGAACUCUAUCACACACAG
rnacentral:rRNA from 1 species